AACCUCUUACUCUCAUUUUUUAUAGCGUGUUGAAUUCGUAUCGGUGUAUACAUGUUUCACCUCGAAGAGCAGAGAGAGAGAGAGAGAAAAAACUUCAGACAUUUGACAUUUCUCGUAGAAUUAGAAUUAGAAAACAAAACAAUUUCGUUCAUAUUUUAUUUCAACCCAUUAUUUAAUUAUAAUUGGAUGUAAUAAAAUAAGGAAAACACAAAUUUUUUCAUUGUGUAUAUAAAAUAAGAAAGAAAAUGCCAAAACGAUUUAAGAAUCAAGUGUGGAAGAUUGUUGGAACAGUGGCUAGUGGUGCUAGGAAUAGCAAUGGUGCUUCAACGUGGUGGGGAGCAGUCGCAGCUUCAAGCGGUGCAGUUGAGUUUUUGCCAGAGUCAAUUGUUGCUAUUUGUGUAUAUCGUUAGAAUCACAACUCAUAAUGAAAUCACCAGAACUCUUGAAAAUGAUUCACCAGAUGCGAAUAAAACCAAUGGCCAGCUACAUCACUGCUAAGCACCUGCUGGUUCUCACAGUGAAAUUGACCUUGAAUAUGAUACUUCCCGCGGUUUCGUGAACAUAAGAAGAGGCAGAUAAGCAUCAAGAGGCAAGUCGAAGUUCAUUGAAUAAUGCAACCGAAUAUACAAACAGUUGAGAGGCUUACAUUCUGAACAUAGCAGCACCAGUCGAACUAGUGAGACCGAAGAAAGUAAUAGGAAGUCGCAUUUAUAUUCAGAAAAGUGUUGACGCUUCGUUUUCUGGAAUGCUACAAACAUAGGUUAAUGGUUCCUCCACUUAUAAUUCCUCGUUUCGAGAAGGUGCCGUCGGGGGUGAGAAGAAGCCGACUAAUAGUGCAACACCCUUGAGACAUGAAAAAAAAAUAAGAUGAAAACUGUGUAUGUGAAAUAAGAUGAAAAUUAUUAUGUAUAUGAAGAAGAAAAUAAAAGAAGAUACAUCACACUAUAAGCUUAAUUGGGUGUUAGAUAUAAAAUCAAUGUAAGUCAAAAGUGUUUUUCUUUUUAUUAUAAAUAUGCUUAGAUUCAUCCUGGAGUUAUAAGAAUUAUGAUAUUUUUAAGUUACCUUAAUUAUUUGAAUGAUGACUGUUGUGUAAAUUAUGAAAUUUAAAA